rnacentral:rRNA from 1 species
AGUGAACGCUGGCGGCGGGCCUAACACAUGCAAGUCGAACGGCCGCACAGUAAGAGCUUGCCCCUACGGGUGGCGAGUGACGGGCGAGUGACGCGUACAUCGCAAUCCUCUUUUUCGUGGGGGAUAACGUAGGGCAACUUACGCUACUACCGCAUACGACCUACGGGUGAAAGCAGGGGAUCUUCGGGCUUUUCGCGACUCUAUGAGCCGAUGUCGGAUUAGCUUGUCGGCUGGGUAAAGGCCCACCUUGGCGACGAUCCGUAGCCGGUCUGAGAGGAUGAUCGGCCACACUGGAACUGAGACACGGUCCAGACUCCUACGGGAGGCAGCAGUGGGGAAUAUUGGACAAUGGGCGAAAGCCUGAUCCAGCCAUGCCGCGUGGGUGAAGAAGGUCUUCGGGUUGUAAAACCCUUUUAUUGGGAAAGAAAAGCAGCAGGUUAAUACCCCGCUGUUCUGACGGUACCCAAAGAGUAAGCACCGGCUAACUUCGUG